AGUGCGUUCAGUAAGUAUAACGUUUCAAGAUGGCGGAGCGAAUUGCAUGGUUAUUGUUUCUACUCGAUGGAUUCGCAGAUAAUUCGGAAAUAGAUCAGAUUGGGAUCAAUAACUGUAUUGCAUACGAUCAUUUACAUGUAUUACCAGGUGUGUGUUGCCAGUAAUGGUUGAAGAUAUGCCAAACAAAUUGUGCCUCUCUAUACAGACAGAUUUCAGGUCUCAAUUUCGACUUCAAAGGUCAACAUAUCACUGAUAUCAGGAAUUCUGUACAACUGUGGAACCAUGUAUGGUACGUGACCGCACAAUGUUGGUUGGCAAAAGGAUAUUGGAAUAAGCAAAGGGACUCAACAUUACACAGUCAUUUCAACAUGUAGAGUCUUGUCAGCAAUGAUGGAGCAGUACAUCAGAUUUCCAGAAUCUCGUCAUGAGCUGAAGAUCAUUGCCUAUGGAUUUCAUGAAUGAUGUAGAAUGAUUGGACUGUUGAUGGAACCCACAGUGCAUGUCCUGCUUCAACAUCUGAGCAUAGGUCCUUGUUUAUCAGCAGUUUAGUUCAUCAAGCAGUCUGUGACAGUAACUUGAAAUGUUUGGACAUAUGACCUGGAUGGCCAAGUUCUGUGCAUGAUGCCCAUUUAAAUAGGAACGGCCCAGUGGCGCAUUAAAUGGACAUUUUUCGAAUGUUCUCGAGGAUUCAGCUUACCGCCUGACAAGAAAUCUUGCUUUUUGUUCCGUAUCGAGGCCAUAGACAUUUGUAUCAUUUGCAAAAGAUACUGCGAUAUUUGUGCCUUUGUUCAUGCUUUAUAGUUGAUUAACAAUUGGAAGCCAUAACCUGUUUUAUAGGAUGGUGUUAGUGGGACAAUGAAUUUUGUAAAGAUUUAAAGACUGGAAAAGAUAAUUAAAAGUCAAAAGAGUUCUGCUAUUGUUAAGCAUGCUUUAUUGAUUUGUAAUGUUAGAAAGAUAGCAUUAUUAACAGAAUAAAAUGUCCAUAAUUUGAA